AUUGAACGCUGGCGGCAGGCUUAACACAUGCAAGUCGAGCGAGCGGCGGACGGGUGAGUAAUGUCUGGGAAACUGCCUGAUGGAGGGGGAUAACUACUGGAAACGGUCGCUAAUACCGCAUACUAUCAGAUGUGCCCAUAUGGGAUUAGCUAGUAGGUGGGGUAAUGGCUCACCUAGGCGACGAUCCCUAGCUGGUCUGAGAGGAUGACCAGCCACACUGGAACUGAGACACGGUCCAGACUCCUACGGGAGGCAGCAGGGGGGAAUAUUGCACAAUGGGCGCAAGCCUGAUGCAGCCAUGCCGCGUGUGUGAAGAAGGCCUUCGGGUUGUAAAGCACUUUCAGCGAGGAGGCGUUACUCGCAGAAGAAGCACCGGCUAACUCCGUGCCAGCAGCCGCGGUAAUUC
rnacentral:rRNA from 1 species